rnacentral:lncRNA from 1 species
GUCGAGAUACUCCCUUUGCCUAUCUUUUUGCGACCCCCUUGACUGCCUUUUUGAGACAUUGAGGCAAGGGCAUACCUCUCACUUCCUUGGUUUUGGAGCAUAGCACUUCCAAUACCAAUACAGCUCUCUUCACUCUGUAUGUAGGAGUAUACUUGAUUCAUUGAGGGAAGAGGAUCCUUACCAAGGCACUCAAUAUUACUAUCCUUGCCUGCUCAUACUCUUGAUUUCAUCCUACUAGGAACUAAAAAAAUGUGAGUUCUCUCAACCAAAUUCAACUAGUUUACUCCAUCUGUAGGACACAUCGGCUUGUAGUCCUGAUAGUGAUCAAACUCCUCCCACAUGUGACGUAAGGAGGCAAAGUAAAUAGCAAGGGACUCAUCCCCUUUC